GGAUCUGUGCCAUGUCUGUCUGUUUUGGUGCUAUUUCUGUUCUUAGCCUCUAGAUGGCGUUUUGAACCGGAGGAGAGGUAACAGGUGUUCUCUAUCUCCUCGAUAAUCUGCUGAGGAGUAUUUAAGGAGGAGGCUGCCAGCAACUCACUGCCAGAGUGUAGCCCUUUGUGGUACAGCUCAAGCCACAUUACUUUGCCUUUGCCUUGACCUUGCUUUGCUCUCUUGUAAUUUUGGAUUUGUUGCCUUGCAGGUUACCUGAACCUGACUUUGCCUUCAGCAUCGAAGUCUGCCUGGAUACCAUCUUCUGGAAAGAAGCUAUCCAACCCCAUGAACCAAGACUCAAGCCUCCUGUUUCCUCAUUGGAUCAAACCAGCUGGCAGUCUCCUGAUUCCUUCAUUCCAUGGAUCUACCUCUGUGAACCCUGUCCACCCUCCUCCUCCCAUUGCACCAACUACAGAAACUCUUGGACCAUCAAUCAUCCUGGCACACCAGUGUUCACUGUCUCCGGUCCCACGGGUCAACAACCUCCUGGUCUCUCCACCCCCCUCUGGCGGAUCUCUCCCUCAAAUCAUUGGUGUCCCGGUUCCAGUCUCCUACACAUUUCAACAUACUGUCAAUAAACUUCUUACCGUUA